rnacentral:sRNA from 1 species
CAUAACAUAACUGUGGACAAAUAUAAUGUACAUGUGAAUCAAUGGCUCCUGCAGUAAAGAUUUUACCUUCACCAGCCAAUGCUUCAGUGCCACAGCCCACAAUCAUACCAGGAGUGACACCAGCCAUGACAUCCGGGUUUCCAGCUUUUCCAAUACCAACAAUAAUACCCUUUUUGAUACCAAUGUCUGCCUUAUAAAUACCAGUAUAAUCAAUGAUCAAUGCAUUUGUGAUCACCAAAUCAAGUACUUCAUGAUCCAACUUGGCUGUCGCCUGCCCCAUGCCUUCACG